rnacentral:rRNA from 1 species
AUGGCCAACGUUGUCCUCAACUUCAACGCGUUCCUAGAGAAAACCAAGCUGAAAGACGAUGGCAGCAACUAUACGGACUGGGUCCAGAACCUGAGGAUCAUCCUCAUAGCUGCCAAGAAAGAUUAUGUCCUAGAAGCACCGCUAGAUGACGCACCUGUCCCACAGAACCAAGACGUUAUGAAUGCUUGGCAGACACGUGCUGAUGAUUACUCCCUCGUUCAGUGUGGCAUGCUUUACAGCUUAGAACCGGGGCUCCAAAAGCGUUUUGAGAGACACGGAGCAUAUGAGAUGUUCGAAGAGCUGAAAAUGGUUUUUCAAGCUCAUGCCCGGGUCGAGAGAUAUGAAGUCUCCGACAAGUUCUUCAGUUGUAAGAUGGAGGAAAAUAGUUCUGUCAGUGAGCACAUACUCAAAAUGUCUGGGUUGCAUAACCGCUUGACUCAGCUGGGAGUUAAUCUCCCGGAUGACGCGGUCAUUGACAGAAUCCUUCAGUCGCUUCCACCAAGCUACAAUAGCUUUGUGAUGAACUUUAAUAUGCAGGGGAUGGAAAAGACCAUUCCUGAAGUAUUUGCAAUGCUGAAAUCAGCAGAGGUAGAAGUCAAAAAGGAACAUCAAGUGUUGAUGGCGAAUAAAACCACUAAGUUCAAGAAAGGCAAGGGUAAGAAGAACUUCAAGAAGGAUGGCAAGGGAGUUGCCGCACCCGGUAAGCAAGCUGCCGGGAAGAAGCCAAGGAAUGGACCCAAGCCCGAGACUGAGUGUUUUUAUUGCAAGGGAAGUGGUCACUGGAAGCGGAACUGCCCCAAAUACUUAGCGGACAAGAAGGCUGGCAUCAUGAAAGGUAUAUGUGAUAUACAUGUAAUUGAUGUGUACCUUACCAGUACUCGUAGUAGCUCCUGGGUAUUUGAUACCGGUGCGGUUGCUCACAUUUGUAACUGA